UACGUAGGGUCCGAGCGUUGUCCGGAAUUAUUGGGCGUAAAGGGCUCGUAGGCGGUUCGUCACGUCGGGUGUGAAAACUCGGGGCUCAACCCCGGGCGUGCAUCCGAUACUGCCGGGCUUGAGGCAGGUAGGGGAGAUCGGAAUUCCUGGUGUAGCGGUGAAAUGCGCAGAUAUCGAGGAAGAACACGGUGGACGGAAGCUCGUCGUCCUGGGUCCCUUGACUC
rnacentral:rRNA from 1 species